UUAAGAAUAAGGAGUUUUUCUCGGGACUUUAACGUUAUAAUAAAUAAAACUAUAUAUAAAAUUAUGUUCUUAAAAUUUUAAUUAAUUCUAAAUAAACUACAAUUAAGCGAUGUUUAAGGAGUAACAUGAUCCCUGAGGCUCUAAAAUGAUCACCUAAGUUCGGGAAUUUUUUGUAAACAAAUAAAUAGCUUUAUUUAAAAAACAAAUAUAAACCAUUUUAUUAUACACAUAUUAAAUUGUUUAAAAAAAUGUUUAAUUAUUUAUUUAUAAUUGUUUAAAAUGACGGUGAUACUGGCACAUUUCCCCGCAAAUGCACUUUUUCUAAUUUGGGUGUAACGCUUUUUUUAUCCGACUGACUUGAAAUUUUAACAUCAUCUUCUAUACAUCACACAAUAGGAUUUUUGCGAAACAUUGAAAAUUCUUUUUGCAAUAAUAAUUUGUUUAUCUAAUUUUUGACCACAAAAAUGUACUUUUUCCUAAAAAUAGCUGUUAUUUAAAAAAAGGAUAUUUUUUUAAACGGCUUUGUACUUGUAAUUGCAAUCAAUAUAGAAAAUAAUUUUGAAUUUUUCGAGGUUAAAUCUUAGAGAAAUCUUGCACGCAAAAUGAUGUCUAAAAAAAGUGCGUUUGCGGAAGUGUGCCAGUACGCCGCUAUUUUAAUCAAUUAUAAGUAAAUAAAAAUUUUCCAAAUAAUUUAAUAUGUAUAUAAUAAAAUAGAUUAUACUUUUUUAAAUAAACCUAUUUGCCCACAAAAAAUUUCCAAAUUUGGGUAUUGUUUUAGGGAUGGCGUUAUCCCUUAAAAAAUAAAGUUUUAUCACAAAGCCUUAUAGUGACUUCUAUCUCAUGAUGUAAAGUUAAAAAAACUAGAAUAAAUAAUAAUCUUUGUCGAUAUUUUUCUUAAAAAACAAUACAUAAAAAAACAAUUAUAUUAAAAAUACAUUACUUUAACCUUAUAGAAACCAUCAUCUUGAAAAAAUUUUCUUACUGAUUUUACAUACUUAAAAUUUCUGUAAAUGAACAAUUUAUGGAUAUUUACUUUUUUAUCUUUAUUUUGUCAAUACCUAGCCUUCUUAAUAAUAAGAAGCAUUGCAUUUUAGUGAUUAAUAGAACAUAUAUUUCCAUUUCAGUUUUUAAGCAUAACUAAACUGCAUACAAUCGGACCUCUCAUUUAGCAUAGCCACGGGACCAAAUAUGAUAAAUGGGAGGUUCGUGUUAGCGCCGCCCAAAACAGAGUCGUACGUACAUAUCGUCAGAUCCAGUUUCAAAUUAUGGAGGUUAGAAUGUGAUUCUUGCAUUGGCAAGUACGUAUGUACGGACCUGAUGCAGACGACUGCGCAUCGUGUACGCGCAGCGACUGUGAUCACAUGGUAUACUAAACGGAGGUUUUUGGUAUGCUAAAUGGAAGGUCUGACUGUAGAUAUCAAGAGGCACGGUAGUGUACGCGCGCGAGGCACUGCCGUGUCUCUAUUACGCGAGACGGCGUUUGCAAGAUUCCGUAGUUAUUGGAUUCUCAAUAACGGCUGAUCGUUUGAUUUCUAAAUAGGCUAAUAGAUAGCUUGCAUCUAAUUUAUAUAACAAAAGUGUUCCUAUUUUUCCGUUACGUGACUUACGAGCGAAGAUAUUGCAAUUUAAAGUUUCGCAUCAAGAGUAAAAAUAUUUUUAAGAAACGUCGUAGUCAUCGUCGUCUCCCGGACAGGUGAUAGGGAUUUGUACUUUUGCUUUCAGCGUAAUAGAUGGUUUUGGAUUUUAAUUAUUUACGAGUUGACACGGACACGAAAAGUUACAUGUCAUUGGUUGCGUCCGCGCCAUCCGCGUGUCGAGGUAAUGAUUAAUACGCGGAGAGUUUCACGUCUAUGAUGUGACAGUUCGAGGUUAGUGUUGACGUGCGCGAGAUUAGUGACGGGUUAGUUAGUUUUAUGCAUAAUUUGCAUAUUAUAUCGUGGAUUACAUCGUGGAGGAGAAUACGGCUGUGCCUAACUUGAAGAAUUUAGUAAAAUACUAUGCGUUGUAUAAUCAGAUAAGUUACAUAAAAUUUUCAUUUUUUUGUAUAGAAUAAGUAUUCUGAGAUAAAAAUAAAACUUUGUUAUAUUUUAUUUUUAGUUAUUUUACUCUUUCUAGCACAAUAAUUAUAAUUUAUUUACAUGUGUAAAUAACUUACUUUAUGUCACUUAUCUUACUUUUACUUAUUAUUUCUUAACUACUUCUAAUUUUCUCUCUUUCUCUCUCUUUUUACUCGUCCACUUUUUACUCUCAUUUUUCUUUUUCUAUUUUAGGUUUUUCUACUUUAGAUUUAAAUAAAGUGUUUCUUCUUCUCUUUUUUUUAACAUAGUAACUAAAAAUAAUACCAAAACUAAAACCAUAACACAAAGUACUAACCUGUCUCAGAAUACUUAUUUCUAUUUAAAAAAAAAUGAAAAUUUUGUGUAAUAUACUUAUUUAUUAAUAAGGAAGAGUACAAAAUAAAAAGUAUACAAUUUUUUUAUUUAAAUACAUCUAUACAAUUUAUAAGGAUUAUAAAUAUAAAAAUUUUGAAUUUUUUACUACAAUUAAUAAUUAAAAUUAAUAAAGUUAUUUUUAAAAAUUAUCACGUGACUCAUAAACGCUCAACGAUUGGUUGUUGCUGUCGUGACGUCAUACCGUUACUUCGAAGAGGAUCACUAAAUCUUUAUUUUAUUAAAUAACUAUUUAUUAUAAAAUAUGGUGAAAACAAGAUUUGUUAAAGCUGACUCAAGAAAUUUACCUAAAAUUGAUAUAUUUAUGGUGGCUGAAUUUAUCAAAACUGAUGAUAAAUCUAACGCAGCAGAAAUAAGAUUGGUUAAAGCAUCUUUGUCAUCUCGAGAAACCUACGGCGAUAUUGCUAUAGGUUAUGUUUGUUUACAUAGAGAAUCUUUACGUUGUACCAUAAAAGAAAAAAUAUGUCCAGAACACCGAGUAAGAUCUUGACACCGAGUAUGAUAUCUUGACAACAGUAAUAAUUUGUUGGUUGAUCUGCUCGAUGAGCUACUUUAAACCAUAACUUGCGCUUUUCAUUCUCUGGCACGGAAAAAAACUUUUUCCGAAUGUUUCAUCUGUGUAUUUGAACGCAGGGGUACAAAACGUCGACGAUACAAUUUUUUCUCACUUAUAUUAUUUUUUUUCGCAAAAAAUAAUAAACUUUUAAUAAGGACCUAAUAUCUUUCCCGUGUUGUUAUGAAUGAGAAAUGGUAUGACGUCACAUAGAUAGCGUUUUUUUACAGUGACGCGUUUUAGAUCCGUUUAAAAGUAAUUUUUAAUAAUUUGUUUUCUGAUAAACUUUGCUUUAAAAAAUCUGAGAAUAAAAAUUACCUUAAAAAACAUACGCAAACUUUCAAAUAGAAAUAUUUUUUUUUAAUUGUAUUUUUCCCUAUUGUACAACAUAUAGUGUUAUACUAAUCUUCAAAUUAGGCACAGCCGUUUUUUCCUUCACAAUGUAAUCCACGAUGUAAUAGGCAUAUUAUAAAAAUAAAUUAAAAUAUAAUCAGAAAAGAAAAAAAAACCAAUACAAUUUUGUUUUGUCAUUUUAAUUCAGUCUCAGUCUCAGUCUCAAUCUUUAAAUUUAGUAUGAUAUAGACUUCAAAAUUGUCUUAUGAAUUCAUAUAUAUUAUAAAACGGAAUACCUGUCACUACAAAAUGAGUGAAAUCACACCAAAA
rnacentral:lncRNA from 1 species